AUAAUCAGUUGUUUUUUUUCUUGACCAACAGCUUUUAUCAUGCUGGUUAAAGUUCAGUAUCAAGGUGUAAAGAAAUUUGUGAAAUAACUCAGCGAUUCUACGUUCCAAGAUUUUCUCAAUGAAGUUAAGGGCAAAUUUGGCUUAGCCAGAACUGCAGCUCUUCAAGUCUUUGAUGACACCGACACCAAUGUGGAAGAGGACAUCUUCCAUGAAUUGAUCGAAGGCAGUCCACAUUUAUGCCUAACUGUAAGAUGUCCGGAAAAUAUUGCUGGUUUGUCUGAGGAGUUUUCACCCACAAGAACCUCAACCCCCAGCACAUGCACUGACACUCUUUCACUCUCUUCAACUGACCAUGAAGAGACCCAGAGCGCAGUGGAAAAUCAAACGGCAAUGGUCAGCAACAGUUUUAACAUAGACGCUGAAAAGGCA